rnacentral:rRNA from 1 species
GACGAACGCUGGCGGCGUGCCUAAUACAUGCAAGUAGAACGCAGUUGCGAACGGGUGAGUAACGCGUAGGUAACUGCCUCAUAGCGGGGGAUAACUAUUGGCAACGAUAGCUAAUACCGCAUACUGUGCGAUGGACCUGCGUUGCAUUAGCUAGUUGGUGAGGUAAAGGCUCACCAGGGCGACGAUACAUAGCCGACCUGAGAGGGAGAUCGGACACACUGAGGCGGGGAGACGGCCCCGAGUCCUACUGAAGGCAGCAGUAAGGGAUCUACGGCAAUGGGCGGGAGUCUGACCAAACAACACCGCGAGAGUGAAGAAGGUUUUCGGAUCGUAAAGCUGUGUUGUUAGAGAAGCGGUAACUAACAAGAAAAGGACGGCUAACUACGUGCCAACAACCGCGGUGAAAC